UGCAUGAAGUCGGAAUCGCUAGUAAUCGCGGAUCAGCAUGCCGCGGUGAAUACGUUCCCGGGCCUUGUACACACCGCCCGUCACACCAUGAGAGUCGGGAACACCCGAAGUCCGUAGUCUGACCGCAAGGGGGACGCGGCCGAAGGUGGGUUCGAUAAUUGGGGUGAAGUCGUAACAAGGUAUC
rnacentral:rRNA from 1 species